AUUGAACGCUGGCGGCAGGCCUAACACAUGCAAGUCGAGCGGAUGAAGGGAGCUUGCUCCUGGAUUCAGCGGCGGACGGGUGAGUAAUGCCUAGGAAUCUGCCUGGUCGUGGGGGAUAACGUCCGGAAACGGGCGCUAAUACCGCAUACGUCCUGAGGGAGAAAGUGGGGGAUCUUCGGACCUCACGCUAUCAGAUGAGCCUAGGUUGGAUCAGCUAGUAGGUGGGGUAAAGGCCUACCAAGGCGACGAUCCGUAACUGGUCUGAGAGGAUGAUCAGUCACACUGGAACUGAGACACGGUCCAGACUCCGACGGGAGGCAGCAGUGGGGAAUAUUGGACAAUGGGCGAAAGCCUGAUCCAGCCAUGCCGCGUGUGUGAAGAAGGUCUUCGGAUUGUAAAGCAAUUUAAGUUGGGAGGAAGGGCAGUAAGUUAACACCUUGCUGUUUUGACGUUACCAACAGAAUAAGCACCGGCUAACUUCGUG
rnacentral:rRNA from 1 species